GUGCUCGCUUCAGCAGCACAUAUACUAAAAUUGGAACGAUACAGAGAAGAUUAGCAUGGCCCCUACACAAGGAUGACAUGCAAAUUCGUGAAGCAUUCCAUAUUUUU
ensembl:snRNA U6 U6 spliceosomal RNA